UGCUAACAAUGAGACCCUUGGGUACUUCAUUGGGAGAAUGUUUUUGUUUUUAACUUGCCUUGGCAUAGACAAGCAUCACUUGCAAUUUAGGUAGCGUCUUGGCAAUGAAAUGACACACUAUGCAGCAGAUUGUUGGGUUGCUGAAAUUGAUUGUUCCUAUGGUUGGAUGGAGUGUGUUGAUAUUUCAGAGAGGUCGGGAUAUGAUUUACGAGCACUUAUGGAGAAAAGUGGAGUUGCUUUUGUUGCCUGUGAACAAUCUGCUGAACCAGAGAAGUGGUGGUAAUUCUUCAGACUAGUUAAUUUUGCUAGCUAUUCUUAGAGUACAUUGAGCAGAAACUGGUAAUUGAUCCAGACGAGGAGCAACUAGGUCUCGCCUUUAAGGAAAAUGAGAAGAAGAUGGUGGUUGAGUCUCUUUUGGUAUAUGCUGGAGGUUCCUUGGUUUUUGCUCUUUUGCUUAGUAUGCUCGGAAUUUGUUCCUUUACUUGAUGCUUGCAUUUGUCUUGUUAAUACCAGGCAAUGGGUGAAGAGGAAGCUUUGGGGUUGAAGGGUGCUUUAGAAUCCAAAGGAGAGGCUGGAUUUCUUGUAUAGCCAGUGCGGAGGAAAGUAAAAAUCAAGGAUAACAUAGUCAAAAUUUCUAAGCAGGAGAUAAGGGAGUAGGAGAGGGUUUUUACACCAUCUGUUAUUGAAUUGUCUUUUAGCUUUGGACACAUAAUAUUCUGCCUUUUUUAGCAUUCUUUCUAUACAAGAUCCAUCGAAGCA